GACAGAGGCCUCAAGCGUUAGGCGGAAUCACUGGGCUUAAAGCGUGUGUAGGCGGAUCGUUAAGUGUCUUGUGAAAUCCCACGGCUCACCCGUGGAACUGCUGGGCAUACUGCCGAUCUUGGGCCAACUAGGGGCAACUGGAACAAGCGGUGGAGCGGUGAAAUGCGUAGAUAUCUGGAGGAACACCGGUGGCGAAGGCGGCAUCCUGGACCGGCAUUGACGCUGAGGCGCGAAAGCCAGGGAGCAAACGGG
rnacentral:rRNA from 1 species